CUAUUCAGGCUGUGGUGAAGUAUGGUCACAUGCUGACGGUAGCGCUCAGAGAGGUGAACCGGCACAUUGGGACUGAGAACCCGCAGACUCUACCGGAGGCAGCAGUGGGGAUAUGCACAAUUGGGCGCAGCUGAUGCAGCACGCGCGUGAGGGACGACGGCUUCGGGUGUAAACUCUUUAGCAGGGAAGAAGCGAAAGUGACGGUACUGCAGAAAAAGCGCCGGCUAACUACGUGCCAGCAGCCGCGGUAAUACGUAGGGCGCAAGCGUUAUCCGGGAAUUAUUGGGCGUAAAGAGCUCGUAGGCGGUUUGUCGCGUCUGCUGUGAAAUCCCGGAGGCUCAACCUCCGGCCUGCAGUGGGUACGGGCAGACUAGAGUGCGGUAGGGGAGAUUGGAAUUCCUGGUGUAGCGGUGGAAUGCGCAGAUAUCAGGAGGAACACCGAUGGCGAAGGCAGAUCUCUGGGCCGUAACUGACGCUGAGGAGCGAAAGGGUGGGGAGCAAACAGGCUUAGAUACCCUGGUAGUCCACCCCGUAAACGUUGGGAACUAGUUGUGGGGUCCAUUCCACGGAUUCCGUGACGCAGCUAACGCAUUAAGUUCCCCGCCUGGGGAGUACGGCCGCAAGGCUAAAACUCAAAGGAAUUGACGGGGACCCGCACAAGCGGCGGAGCAUGCGGAUUAAUUCGAUGCAACGCGAAGAACCUUACCAAGGCUUGACAUAUACGAGAACGGGCCAGAAAUGGUCAACUCUUUGGACACUCGUAAACAGGUGGUGCAUGGUUGUCGUCAGCUCGUGUCGUGAGAUGUUGGGUUAAGUCCCGCAACGAGCGCAACCCUCGUUCUAUGUUGCCAGCACGUAAUGGUGGGAACUCAUGGGAUACUGCCGGGGUCAACUCGGAGGAAGGUGGGGAUGACGUCAAAUCAUCAUGCCCCUUAUGUCUUGGGCUUCACGCAUGCUACAAUGGCCGGUACAAAGGGCUGCAAUACCGCGAGGUGGAGCGAAUCCCAAAAAGCCGGUCCCAGUUCGGAUUGAGGUCUGCAACUCGACCUCAUGAAGUCGGAGUCGCUAGUAAUCGCAGAUCAGCAACGCUGCGGUGAAUACGUUCCCGGGUCUUGUACACACCGCCCGUCAAGUCAUGAAAGUCGGUAACACCUGAAGCCGGUGGCCCAACCCUUGUGGAGGAGCCGUCGAAGGUGAUUCGUUCCA
rnacentral:rRNA from 1 species